rnacentral:rRNA from 1 species
AUUGAACGCUGGCGGCAGGCCUAACACAUGCAAGUCGAGCGAGCGGCAGACGGGUGAGUAAUGUAUGGGGCCUGCCCGAUAGAGGGGGAUAACUACUGGAAACGGUGGCUAAUACCGCAUACUUUCGGUGGACCCAUAUGGGAUUAGCUAGUAGGUGGGGUAAAGGCUCACAUGGGCGACGAUCUCUAGCUGGCCUGAGAGGUUGAUGAGCCAAACGGGGACGAGGAAACGGCCCAAACUCCUACGGAGGCAGCAGUGGGGAUUAUUGCACAAGGGGCGCAAGCCUGAUGCAGCCAUGCGGGUGGGAUGAAGAAGGCCUUAGGGUGUUAAAGUACUUUCAGCGGGGAGGCGUUACCCGCAGAAGAAGCACCGGCUAACUCCGUGCCAGCAGCCGCGGUAAUAC